rnacentral:lncRNA from 1 species
AGAUCUCAGUUGGGCGAGCCCCUAGGACUGCUCGAGGUGACUGUUAUUCGAGGAGAGAAACUGGUGAUUCUUACGUGAUUGUCAAAUUGGGAAAUGAAGUAAGAUUGGUGAUGACCACAUGAAUCACUGCUAGCUUUCUUGAUCAGUUAAUCACUCCUUAAAUUUGCUUUUCAGUAGUGUUUGAAGUGCGACAUUAUGUUUUCUUUUUGUUGUGGUUAAAUGGUUUUGAGGAUGCGUCCAUUUCUCUAAUGUGAUGUUGUUUUACUGUCUUGAAAAACCAGUUAGCCAAGACCAAAGUAAUCAACAUUUGCUUGAAUCCUGUGUCGGACGAGAAACUGAGCUUGAC